CAAGUACUCCCUCCGUCCGAAAAUACUUGUCAUCAAAAUGGAUAAAAAAGAUGUAUCUAGAACUAAUAUACAUCUAGAUACAUCCCUUUUAUUCAUUUUGAUGACAAGUAUUUCCGGACGGAGGGAGUACUAC
rnacentral:pre_miRNA from 1 species